UACGUAGGGUGCAAGCGUUGUCCGGAAUCAUUGGGCGUAAAGCGCGCGUAGGUGGCUUUGUAAGUCCGUUGUGAAAGUCAGAGGCUCAACCUUUGAAUGCCGAUGGAUACUGCAGAGCUAGAGUACGGAAGAGGCGAGUGGAAUUCCUGGUGUAGCGGUGGAAUGCGCAGAUAUCAGGAGGAACACCAAUAGCGAAGGCAGCUCGCUGGGACGUUACUGACACUGAGGCGCGAAAGCGUGGGGAGCGAACAGG
rnacentral:rRNA from 1 species